rnacentral:ncRNA from 1 species
UUCAUUGCGAAGAAAAGGAAGAGUAGAAACAGAUACAGCGUGCAGAGAGCCUUCCAGAUGCUGAAAGGAGGGCCGCCAGCCUGUUUUGAAAAUCACCUUGGAGCAGUGCCCUCGAAAACCGGGUGAAGCAUGAUGCCGGAAAAGUAAAGGGCAACGGAUUCGUCCCCGUUACCGGACGGGAGUUCCCCAGUUGAACUUCUCAAGUCUGUUUUUCGUGAGAGAAGCAGAGAAGCUGAGUGGUACCGCGAUGCUCUCGCCUCAGCC